CCGUAAAACGUUGGGCACUAGGUGUGGGGGACAUUCCGCGUUUUCCGCGCCGUAGCUAACGCAUUAAAGUGCCCCGCCUGGGGAGUACGCCCGCAAGGCUAAAACUCAAAGGAAAUUGACGGGGGCCCGCACAAGCGGCGGAGCAUGCGGAUUAAUUCGAUGCAACGCGAAGAACCUUACCAAGGCUUGACAUGAACCGGAAAUACCUGGAAACAGGUGCCCCGCUUGCGGUCGGUUUACAGGUGGUGCAUGGUUGUCGUCAGCUCGUGUCGUGAGAUGUUGGGUUAAGUCCCGCAACGAGCGCAACCCUCGUUCUAUGUUGCCAGCGCGUUAUGGCGGGGACUCAUAGGAGACUGCCGGGGUCAACUCGGAGGAAGGUGGGGACGACGUCAAAUCAUCAUGCCCCUUAUGUCUUGGGCUUCACGCAUGCUACAAUGGCCGGUACAAAGGGUUGCGAUACUGUGAGGUGGAGCUAAUCCCAAAAAGCCGGUCUCAGUUCGGAUUGGGGUCUGCAACUCGACCCCAUGAAGUCGGAGUCGCUAGUAAUCGCAGAUCAGCAACGCUGCGGUGAAUACGUUCCCGGGCCUUGUACACACCGCCCGUCAAGUCACGAAAGUUGGUAACACCCGAAGCCGGUGGCCUAACCCCUUGUGGGAGGGAUGCUGUCGAAGGUGGGACUGGCGAUUGG
rnacentral:rRNA from 1 species